rnacentral:lncRNA from 1 species
AUUUACCUCAAGCACGUAUGGAGCGAAUUCUUACCUUUUAAUAUUGCCAUGGCAUUCACAUUGAACAUAAGUUGAACUCUCUCAUAUGGUAGCUGGGUUCAGAUUCUCUUGACAAUUUCCAGUUCUAACCCUCACAGUUCCUCAGUGUGGCUGGCCCAGAUAUUGACCCUACACAGUUGCCUCCUCCUGGUGACUACCAGCUAUGGAACCGUUGGAUACAACCUACCUGACUCACCCCACAGACCUCACAGUGCACAUGGACAGCCCCCACACGCCAGAGUGACCUGCUCGGUUGCAGCGGGAGUCAAGAAAUGUGCCUGCUGGAGUCCCACAGACCCCUUUUCUCUCUCCUGCUCCCCACUCAUCUUCCCCAUUUUGUUCAGCCCUAUGAGGUGUGCUACUGUAUUAGUCCGUUUUCAC